GCGUGAGAAUCUGCCCUCAGGAGGGGGAUAACGACUGGAAACGGUCGCUAAUACCCCAUAUGCCGAGAGGUGAAAUGAAUUUCGCCUGAGGAUGAGCUCGCGUCUGAUUAGCUAGUUGGUGGGGUAAAGGCCUACCAAGGCGACGAUCAGUAGCUGGUCUGAGAGGAUGAUCAGCCACACUGGGACUGAGACACGGCCCAGACUCCUACGGGAGGCAGCAGUGGGGAAUUUUCCGCAAUGGGCGAAAGCCUGACGGAGCAACGCCGCGUGAGGGAUGAAGGCCUCUGGGCUGUAAACCUCUUUUCUUAAGGAAGAAGAUCUGACGGUACUUGAGGAAUAAGCCACGGCUAAUUCCGUGCCAGCAGCCGCGGUAAUACGGGAGUGGCAAGCGUUAUCCGGAAUCAUUGGGCGUAAAGCGUCCGCAGGCGGCCUUGUAAGUCUGUCGUUAAAGCGUGGAGCNGAACUCCAUUUCAGCGAUGGAAACUACAAGGCUUGAGUGUGGUAGGG
rnacentral:rRNA from 1 species